rnacentral:rRNA from 1 species
GAUGAACGCUGACAGAAUGCUUAACACAUGCAAGUCAUUGGCGAAGCUGCGCUUGCGCAGUCUAGCCAAGGCGGACGGGUGAGUAACGCGUAAGGAACUUGCCCUGCAGACAGGGAUAACAGACGGAAACGACUGAUAACACCUGGUAUUGUCAGGCUGGCGCAUGCCGGCCUGAUGAAAGGAGACGCUGCAGGAGAGCCUUGCGUCCUAUUAGCUAGUUGGUGGGGUAACGGCCCACCAAGGCGAUGAUAGGUAGCCGGCCUGAGAGGGUGAACGGCCACAAGGGGACUGAGAUACGGCCCUUACUCCUACGGGAGGCAGCAGUGGGGAAUAUUGGACAAUGGGGGCAACCCUGAUCCAGCAAUUCUGUGUGCACGAAGAAGGUUUUCGGAUUGUAAAGUGCUUUCAGCAGGGAAGAAGAAAGUGACGGUACCUGCAGAAGAAGCGACGGCUAAAUACGUGCCAGCAGCCGCGGUAAUACGUAUGUCGCAAGCGUUAUCCGGAAUUAUUGGGCAUAAAGGGCAUCUAGGCGGCCCUGUAAGUCUAGGGUGAAAACCUGCGGCUCAACCGCAGGCCUGCCCUGGAAACUACAGGGCUAGAGUAUCGGAGAGGUGGACGGAACUGCACGAGUAGAGGUGAAAUUCGUAGAUAUGUGCAGGAAUGCCGAUGAUGAAGAUAGUUCACUGGACGGUAACUGACGCUGAAGUGCGAAAGCUAGGGGAGCAAACAGG